AAAAACAUGUCUUUUUGAAUAUAAUUUAAAGUCUAACCUGCCCKUUGAUUUAUAUUUAAAGGCCGCAGUAUUUUGACUGUGCAAAGGUAGCAUAAUCAUUUGUCUUUUAAUUGAAGGCUGGAAUGAAUGGUUGAAUGAAGUGUAAACUGUCUCAUUUUAAUAAUUUAAUAAUUUAGCUUUUAGAUUAAAAGGUUUAAAUGUAUUUAAAAGACGAGAAGACCCUAUAGAUUUUUAUAAUAUUAACUAAAUUAUAACUAGAUUAUUAUAAAUUUAUUUAUUGAAAUAUUAUUUGGUUGGGGUGAUUGUAAAAUUUAAUAAACUUUUUUUUUUAAAAAACAUUAAUUUUUGAGUAAUUGAUCCAAUUUUAUUGAUUAAAAGAUUAAAUUACCUUAGGGAUAACAGCGUAAUUUUUUUAAAGAGUUCUUAUCGAUAAAAAAGAUUGCGACCUCGAUGUUGAAUUAAAGGUUAUUUUUAAAUGUAGAAGUUUAGAGUUUAGGUCUGUUCGACCUUUGAAUCUUUACAUGAUCUGAGUUCAAACCGG
rnacentral:rRNA from 1 species